rnacentral:rRNA from 1 species
CCUUUGACGUUAGCGGCGGACGGGUGAGUAACACGUGGGUAACCUACCUAUAAGACUGGGAUAACUUCGGGAAACCGGAGCUAAUACCGGAUAAUAUUUCGAACCGCAUGGUUCGAUAGUGAAAGAUGGUUUUGCUAUCACUUAUAGAUGGACCCGCGCCGUAUUAGCUAGUUGGUAAGGUAACGGCUUACCAAGGCGACGAUACGUAGCCGACCUGAGAGGGUGAUCGGCCACACUGGAACUGAGACACGGGUCCGAGACUCCUACGGGAGGCAGCAGCG